rnacentral:rRNA from 1 species
CUGGGAUAACCCCGAGAAAUCGGAGCUAAUACCGGAUAUGACCUUUCCUCGCAUGAGGGUUGGUGGAAAGUUUUUCGGUCUGGGAUGGACUCGCGGCCUAUCAGCUUGUUGGUGAGGUAAUGGCUCACCAAGGCGUCGACGGGUAGCCGGCCUGAGAGGGUGACCGGCCACACUGGGACUGAGACACGGCCCAGACUCCUACGGGAGGCAGCAGUGGGGAAUAUUGCACAAUGGGCGCAAGCCUGAUGCAGCAACGCCGCGUGCGGGAUGACGGCCUUCGGGUUGUAAACCGCUUUUAGUAAGGAAGAAGGGGAGCUUGCUCCUUGACGGUACUUGCAGAAAAAGGACCGGCUAACUACGUGCCAGCAGCCGCGGUAAUACGUAGGGUCCGAGCGUUGUCCGGAAUUAUUGGGCGUAAAGAGCUCGUAGGCGGUUUGUCGCGUCUGCUGUGAAAUCCCGAGGCUCAACCUCGGGCCUGCAGUGGGUACGGGCAGACUUGAGUGGUGUAGGGGAGACUGGAAUUCCUGGUGUAGCGGUGGAAUGCGCAGAUAUCAGGAGGAACACCGAUGGCGAAGGCAGGUCUCUGGGCACUUACUGACGCUGAGGAGCGAAAGCGUGGGGAGCGAACAGGAUUAGAUACCCUGGUAGUCCACGCCGUAAACGUUGGGCGCUAGAUGUGGGGACCUUUCCACGGUUUCCGUGUCGUAGCUAACGCAUUAAGCGCCCCGCCUGGGGAGUACGGCCGCAAGGC